rnacentral:lncRNA from 1 species
GGUGGUGAAGGUGAGGGUUUGAGAAAACGUGAGGGGUCAAUGAUGAUGAAGGGAAACCAUAUAUAAUAAAAAAUUAUUUGAUUUUCUGGUAUGAAUUUUUGGGUGUUGAUGAAGGAGGCGAAGGAAUUAUGGGUAUGAUUUUCUAGUGUAUUGAUGAAUAAGGCGAGGGAAUUUCAGGGGUAUGAUUUUCUCGUGUCAUAUGGCGACCCGUCGUUCUGGUUUAGCUACUAGACUUACUUUGACCUCCUUUGUUCUCACAUACCUUUUGUACAAAUCAAUGACAAUUUCUUUAAAAAUUAAUGAAGUUCACACCACACCAACUCUCAAUCUCUCCAUGCUAUAAACUCGAACUACCACAACCCAUCUUUGAUGAAAUCAACAAUCUCAAGCCUCGUUCCAACCCCAACACUAAAGAAACAUUUAUCUGGUCUGAUAAAACCAAUGGAGUUUACACUACGAAGUUCGGUUUUUCUUGGCUCUUGAAGAAACGUGGUGUAGAUGUCAAAUCAUUUUCUUGGUCUUGGAUUUGGUUCCUUAGCCUUCCAAAAAAAAAAAAAAAAUCAAAUUUCUAGUUUCGUUGGCUUGUUAUGAUUAUGUCCCUACUCUUUCUCUUAUGAGUCAUUAGAACCUAGUCCCGAAUAGCCUUUAUCCUCAUUGUUCAUAAUUUAACGAGUCCUUCCUCCAUUGCAUCAGAGACUGUACAACCUUCAAGAAUCUUUGGAUUUCUCUAAGUUUCACUUUAGUUGAGUUCUUUAACAAUGUGGACCCCCGUGAUUAGAUCAAGCUUGGUCUCACUUCAUGUAAUUCCAACAUCUUCGUUGCUGGAGUGUGGUGAUCUUGGAAAAUAGAAACUUUAUUUGCUUCUUAAAUGCUCUGAUGUUAACUCAUCGUCUUGCCAUGUAAGCUAGAAACUUAUUUACCACACUAUUUCCUUCUUGCAUAGCCUACGAGCCUUUAGAGUAAUUUGGUCUAGUGGAAAUCAUCUAAUCAUAUAUCCACGAUUAUCAUGUUAAUGGCAGUUGUCUUGGUAAUCCCAUUAAAGCGGGUUACAUAGGCGUACUACACCUACCUUCCGGGGCAUGGAUUUUAGAUUUCUCAGACUACAUUGCAAGUGCCACUGAGAUCCUUAUGGUUGAGCUCCAUGAUUAACGUCGAGGGCUUUCACUAGCUCGAGAAAUGAACCACCAUGAUGUUAUUUUAUUUACAUAUUCUCUUCAAUGUUUUAACAUUCUCAAUGAUCCACAAAUAUGCUACUUUGAUUUAUGAAAUCAAGGAUCUUAUCAACCUCGACUGGAACAUAUCCAUCACUCACACACUUCACGAAGGAAAUAGUUGUGUUGACUUCAUGACAAAUGACUAGAGCUUCUUCCUCCUUGGAUUUCAUGAUUUACACAUCUCCUCCGACAGACUUAUCAAUCAUCCUAGCAACAGACUCUGCUGGAACUUGGUUCCAUAUAGCGUAGUUUUUCUUUCUCAUCCUGCAACAAAAAAGAAUAAAGUAAAAGGGAUAAAAUUGUAAAUAUAAUAGUUUAAAUGAUAGAUACAAUGGAAAAAAUACUCCAAGAUCAUGUAUCAAUCUCUAUGUAUGUGUAUCGAUAACACAAAAUUGAAGCCUCUCAAGUAUGAGGUUUGGACAGUCACUCCUCCCGUCUGUGCUCCAAACUACCACUCUUGGCAUUUGUUUACUUAAUUAUCCUCACAUUUUUUUGUUCAAAUUUUUUUGAAGUAAAGAGAUGGGAUGACAUCCAAGACAAGAAAAGUUUCAUAAUCAAAUACUUGGUAAAAUUCUUAAUUUGUUUACCUCAUUUUAAAAUUUGAGUGCAUGUUUAGACCUGAUCUGUCAUAUAUGUGAUUCCUUGUCAUACUAUAUUAUAUUAAAUCAAUCCUUUGGAAUUAGAAUCCUCAUACUUUAUAUAAUCAAGUUAAAAUAUUUUACAAAAUCUCGAAUUCUCUACGCAAGCAUAACAUAUAAAAUACUGCAUUUAAUUAAACAUGAUUUUUCAACCAUUAAUUUUGGUACUUUGGCCUCAAAAAGGGAAAUUCCUCCUAUGUUAUUUUUCCAUAUGAUCACUGACAGUUUAGACAUAUGAAUCUAUUCUGCAUUCUACUAGGAGUUAAAAUAAUCAAAAGAGACCCCGAUGGGUCAGACAAAUCAGAUUUUUUCCUAAAUGGGGAGAUAAAUGAACGGUGAGUGAUUUUUUAAAAAGAAAACAUUGUUUUUUUUGGUGUACCUUAAAAGAAAACAUUGUGGUUAACGCUAACUUAGAAUGUUUUUUUUUAUUUUUAUUAUCAUUAAUUCUUAAUUUGUUAGAUUCGUACCAAACAUUGCUCAAAAAAUAUUAAAUAUGGAUUUACAUUUUAUUUUGAGAAUAAAGUACUAAACUUAGGAUCAAUUCCUCUAUAGGAGCAUUUUAGGGUGGAUCGAAGGGGGGAUGACUUUAUGGAAUGACACCCCCUCAACAUCAACGCCUCUUAUUAUAUCAAUUUUAGUUUAAUUUGUUUAUUUUAAUUUUAUGAUAUCUAUAUAACUCAUGAAAAAAUGAUUAAGAAAAAGAUUGACCAAAAUUUAUAGUUAGUUUUUUAGUCCCUUAAAUUAUAGUGUAGAUUUAAAUUUAAAUUUAAAUUUGAAAAAUAAUUAAAUUGUUAAGGGUAUAAAGACAUAUUUAUAACUAGUGAAUUUAAGAGUAAAACAAUUUGAGAGUAAAAGAAUUUGAUCUUUCAUGAAAGAAAAAAAAAAAAAAGAGUAAAACAAUUUGAGAGUAAUUUGGGUAUAGUGAAAAUAUGAUGCACCAAAAAAUUAUGUAGCCCCUUUUAUUAGUAGUAUAGAAGUCUAAAACAAUUAAUGAGGUUAAACUUUUUAAUAAUUAUGAUUGAUUAACCAUAUUAAACAAUACUUACAUUUGUCACCGCAUAUGAAUUACAUUUAUUUUUUUAUCAAAUAAUACAGUGUUGGGAUUCACACAUUUUUAUAUAUAGAAAAGUGAAAAAUUUAAAGUUCAAAUUCAAACAUUUGUGUAUCAGAGUUUGACCAACUGAGUUGUGUUCACAUGACCAUAUAAAAUAUUUGGUACCAUCCUUCAAAAAAAAAUAUUUGAUACCAAUUGACUAACAAUGUUUUUUUGACAAAAUUUACAAUCUUUUUUAAGGAAAAAUUUACAAUGUUUUAUCGACGCAAAAUAAAAUAAAAAAUUGGUCAAAAUGUUUAUGCAAAAUAAAAAGAUUUACGUUGUUUUAAUUGUAACAGAAUGACUUGCAAUGUUUUUUUUUUUUUUUUGAAAGAAGAAUGACUUGCAAUGUUAAUAUUAGAUUCCAACCUAGCUGCAUUUAUUUACUAACUUAGAAAAUGCUCUCAAACAAAAAAAAUCAGGCUGAAAAAAUAAAUAUGUUUACUGUUUUUCAUAAGAUAAGAUGCAAUGCAUUGUGCCAUUUUUUCGUUAAUCGUUUGAUUUGAAUGAUUUCUAGACUUUAGAUAUGGUGAACAGUGUGCAAUUGGAAUAUAUAAUUAUAAGUUAGAACAAAGAUACAACAAGCGCAUCUGGUGUAGUGGUAUCAUAGUACCCUCCCACGGUACUGACCAGGGUUCGAUUCCCUGGAUGCGCAUUAAUUCAUUUUUUGUCUUUUUUUUAUAGGUAAAUUAAAAACAAUGUUGUUUUUUUGUUGUCAGUUUCCUAUAGGUCAUUAUGGACUUAGAAUUUUUUGAGAUUAAUUAAUAUGUAGAAAGAAUCAGUAGAGUCGUGCUUAAUUUUUCAUAUUUUACAUUAUGAAACACAGUUGGCUGAGAGAGGGAGAAUGAGAGUGCAAUGGUUGGUAUUGCUGGAAUCUUUCCUAAGAUAGGUGGGUGAGGAUUGUAAUUGUUGUUAAGAGGAUUUUGGUUGGACCUCUAUCUUUUUUGCCCAUAAAAGAAGUUGCUCUUUAACUCCUCCUAUUUGCUCGUAAACAACCAUUGUAAUUUAUCUACCGAACGGUUGUGGAGGUUAACUCAAUUAACGAUUAUCACAAGUACUCGAAUUGAGUUUGAUCGCUAUUCGCUAACCAAUAUAAUCUUUGCUCAUACUCAUCUCCCGACCAAACUCUCCAUAUUACAACUAUCCAAGUAUCCACAAUACACAUAUUUGUGAACCUGUCAUACCAAGGAGAUUAGGCUCAAUUUAAAAUAUUGUCAAAAAUCUGGUUGUGUUGUAAUUCUAUAUAUUGUGGAGAAUCACAAACAAAUACUUAUGCAAUCUACAUUACAAAUGUAUUGUGCUCACAUAAACUUCUGAAACUAUGAAUGUAUUAUGCAAUCUAUAUAUUAGUGAUUGCAGAUCAUUUUUAAAACCUUGUUUGCAAUAGGAAGGAGGAGAAGACAUAAUAGUGAAAUUCAUAAUCACAAAAUCAUCCGAAGAAGUAUAAGAGGCUCUGUUAAAAGUAUCCCGGGUGAAAAUAAACAUGAUUAGAAAAUCCAGAAGCCAGUAGCAAUUAGACCCAUUAAAAAUGCACGUAGAGGGUGACAAAUUACACUUGUAGAUUUGUCUAAUAACAAGACUUCAAUAUAGUAUUUCAACAUGAAUAAACUGACUUAUACCAGUCGAAUAUAUAACUCUUUGUCCGUUUCUUGUUCCAAAAAUCAAACUUAGAUUUUGCCGGCAAUUUUGUUGUUUUUUGCAUGCAAAUCAAAGUUAACUCAUGGAUUAUACCUCUAAAACUAAGCAAAAAAGGAAUGAUCUCAAUUUUACUAUUUUUCCAAAUAAAAGGAAAAGGGAAAAUAUUUUCAAUCUAACUAAUUGAACUUCCAUAAUCAUCAGUUUCUAAUUUUGUACAUCCUGCAUACACACUCUACUGUUUUUCAUGCAUGACUUUGAUUAUCAGUAACCUAUCCCCUUCUUGAUCAUGUGGGGUUCAAAUAAAUAAUCAAAUCCCAAUCAUAAUUUUUGCUUCUUUGCUAUAUAGUUUUUGCGUGCACAAUAUAAUAGUUUUAGAUGUGUAUGCAACAACAUCUAAACUGUAAUUGCAACCACAUAGUGCAUUUGCUUUACCGCAAUAUAAAGGUUCACAACGCAACGAUAAUUGUGAUUGCAAUUUGAAACCAUCAAACUAGCAAUCAGAAAUUCAGAACCAAACCUUCUAGAAAUUUUCUCUGCUCAGAUUCAAUUAUUCAGCUUGCCUAUAAUCACAUCUGCUUGCCUAUACAAUAAUAUAAAAGUUCACAGUGUAACCAUAAUCCGGACCACAGUUUGAGACGAUAAAAUUAGCAACCAAGAUGUUUAUAAGUUUCUUUAGUUGAUUUGAUUAUUCAGUUAAUUUAGUUGCUCUAAAAUUUCUCAUCAAUAAGCCUAAUCCUCAUGCUCACAAACUACACAUUUUUGCCAACAAAAUAUGAUAUGCUACUAUACAAAAAUUAAAAAAAACCAAAUUUGAUGUCACAAACAUGAGUUAUAUUAUAUAUCAAAAGUUAAAUACAAAUUCAUGUUAGCUUCAAUAUGAAACACCAGAAAGCAUCCUCGAAAUCAAAUAAAAACAGAUACCAAAAGUGAAAUGAUAGUAACAAGAGAUGAAUUAAAAAUCAAAACCACCAUCAAAACCACCAUCAUCAAAGCCAGCAUCAUAUCCAGCAUCAUAAGAAGAAGCAUCAGAAAUCAUAUCUCCAAUCAACAUCCCACCUAAAGCACCUCCAAGCAACCCUGCUCCCAAUCCCAUUCCCAUUUUAUUCUUCUUAGGCUUCUGUGCUUGUGCCCCUGGAUAUCCAUAACCCGGUUGUUGCGGCGGGUAUCCAUAACCCGGUUGUUGUGGUGGAUAUCCAUAACCCGGUUGUUGUGGCGGGUAACCAUGACCCUGUUGAGGUGGAUAGCCAUAACCUGGUUGAGCUGGUGGAUAACCACCAGGUUGAGCCGGUGGGUAGCCACCAUAAGCAGCCGCUGCCGGUGGUGCAGGUGGAUAUCCAUAACCCGGUUGUUGCGGCUGAGGAGGAUAAGGUGUACCAUACGGCACCGAGCUAGACCCAGCUGCCGCCAUUCCAGGUGGAGGAUAAGCCAUCACCGGUUCAUGUUCGUUUUUUCCCUUCACCGGUUCAUGUUUCGACGUUGUUUUCAUCGCCGGAGCUUGGACUUUUUCGCCGAAUUUGUAAGAGAGGUUUAAGUUUCCUUUAGCUUUCCCUGAAGAUGUUCUAACCUGAUAAUUAACCUGCCGGAAAGAAUCUCCGGAGGGGUUAUCAAGAAGCUCCUUGAGAGGGAUAUGAACCUUGCCGAUCAAGGUAUCGCCGGCAACGGUACGAUCGGAGAUGAGUUUGACCUCGAGAGAGAGACGAUUCUGGUUAGCGAGAGAAUCGUUGAUGGUGAAUUUGACGGGGAAGUUCCAUGUAGGGCUUGUUCCACCGUCACGAUGCCUGUGGGUGGUGGCAGUUUGUGGGUUUAAUGGAUCGCCUGAGAUUGAAACGACGGCGUAAACGUCCAUCUUGGAGAAAAGAUUAACAUUUUUGAGAUCUUUAGCGGAUAUGAUGUUGAGUUCUAAGGUUCUAUAUUCCAUGUUCAUGAACAAAGAAAGAUUAAUAAAGAGUUUGAGAUUCGAGAGAUUUUGUGUUGUUGUUGUUUGUUAGGUUUUGUUUUGAUUAAUGAAUUUUGUGUGUAUAAAUAUAACAAGGUUUUGAGAUUUCUGGAUGUUUAUACGAUGUAACAGAAGGUAUUUAUAAUUUGUUACAGGAAACUUCCAGGUAAGUACUUUUUUAUUAGUAUAGUAUUUUACGCGUAACUUAUGUGUUAAUGUUAUUUUGUUUGGAAAAGAGGUUGAUCAUAUUUCUAAUUUUAUUUACUCUGUUAUUUAUCUAUCUGUUGAUAAUAGUUAUCCACAAAUAUGAGAGGCGGUUUGUGUGUGUGUGUUUUUUUUUUAUAUAAUUUAUUUACUCUCAUACUCGAGAUAAAUAAGCCUAUGAAAGUUGACAUUUUAGGUUUGAAACUGUAAUAUUGAUUAUUGAGAUAAACGCACAGCCUUAAGUAUACAUCACAAUACCGAACCCGAAGUUAAUGUUUAGACUUUUAUGUCAAAUCAUUAAUAAUAAAUACUUUAGAAGUUUUUUUUCUUAAAAAAACAAAUACUUUUAGAAGUUUUUGCACAAUACAUCAUAAUAAAAGUUGGGUUUAAUUACACUUUUGGUCCUCGUGUUUUGGCCUACUCAUGAAACUGGUCUUGCCCUUUUAAAAUAUAACAAAACGGUCCUUCAACUAUCAUUUUUGUUGCAUUUUUGGUCCUACCCCCCAUUUUAUUCUCCAAAAACGCAGAGAAAUGACAGUUUUAGACCUACCCCCUAUACUCAACCAUGAAAUAAACAAGAAAUAAAGCAGGUAGGUACAAAGAAUCCUCUUUAUUCAACACACUAACCAAAAAAACCCUAAUUUCUAAGAUAUGUUUCAAAUUACGGUUUUUUGGGUUAAUGUGCUGAAUAGAAUAGAUUCCAGUGCCCACAUGUUUUAUUCCUUGUUGAUUUCAUGGUUGAGCAUAAGGGUAGGUCUAAAUUCGCCUAAAACUGUCAUUUCUCUGCGUUUCUAGAGUUUGAAAAUAGGAGGUAGGAUGAAAAAUGCAACAAAAAUAAUAAUUGAAGAACCAUUUUAUUCUGUUUUAAAAUGGCAUGACCAGUUUCAUGAGUAGGCCAAAACACGAGGACCAAAAAUGUAAUUAAGGCUAAAAGUUGAUAUUUUCCUUUUUCAAAAAAAAAAAAACUAGUUUCUAAUUUUUUCAAAAAAAAAAGAAAAUUAGUUUCUAAUUUUUUUUGAACAAGUUAAAAUGAAAUAUAUUAACAAAAAUUUUGAUCCCUAACAGAUUUUUGUUGCGUGCGCUUAAUUGUAUGUCCAUUUAUUGCAUCUCACGUCUACUUUUUGAUUGAAGCCUUUUAUUAUUUUGACCACCCUGUAGAUUAAUUUGACCAUGGAAGUUGUUGUGAUCUUCUGUGGAUGUACAAAGAGUUCUUUAUGCAAGUUUCCAACACUUAAAAGUGUCUUCUAAACUCCACAAAGUAAAAAUCAAGAGUUUUCACAAAUGAUUGUUUAAGCAAGAGAACCACUAGUAAUUCUGAUAGGUAUUCCUAACACCAAACUCAACACUUGUUUGUUAUUAGAUCUACCAUGAGGCCAUAGUCUCUUUACAAGUUCAUCAAAAAUGGGAAGUAUUUCAUGGGUGAAGUAAAAGAGUUUUCUCAUUUCUAUAAAUGCUUUGUAGAAAUCAAACUCGUUAUCUCCUAGGUUUGGCAAAUCUAUCUUAGUUCUCCCAUGAUUUCAAGGCUUGGACGAUCAUGACCCAUCAUCAUGGAGCAAUGAUUUUAAGGUUUGGGUUAUUAUUUUCCAUUUCAAUUAUGAAGGUUCAGAGACGAAGGAAGAGUAACAACUGAGAGAAUGUACAAAAGGUUUUGUUGUAAAAUUGGAAUUGGAAAUUAUCACAUGUAAGAAAUUAAAGAGAAAUAUCAUAACAAAUAAAUAUGACUAAUAAUAAAGUAAAAUAAAAAUAAGGAACUUAUCGAAUUUAAUUGUCGACAUGGCUCCAUCAAAAUCUUCACAAAUUAAAUUAGAAGAAACCUGCAAAACAAUACACUGUUAUGUAACCUGAGGCGUGACAUAGUCACUGUCCUUGUGGAUUUUAUCCGCCUCAUAAGUACACAUCUUCCCAAGAUACAACAUGUUCUUCCCCGUUAUGAAUCAUAACCAAAGGUGACAGAAUAACUCAAAUUUAUCUCAAAGAUAUCAGGAGAUGUAACCUAGAAACCCAGUUAAAAAAUAUCAUAAAUCAACGAAAGAUUUUUAUUUGUAGAAAUUAUAAAAAGAAAAUCAAUUGUUUGUCUCCUGAGAAGUCACUUGGUUGAGAGUUUCUCUCUUCAACCUCGAGAAACUCGGUUUGAGCUCUGACAUCCAGAAAAAAGAAAAUCAAUUUAUUUAUAAAGAUAAAAACUUCUUACAAAUUUAUAUUAAUUCGAUGAAAUAAAAAGAUUCAUGAUAAAAAUGUCACCUAUCAACUAAAUUUUUCCCUAGAAAAAACUAAAGUUUUAUCUUUCCUUUUAAGAACAACUAUUUUUUUUUUAUCUUAACCCUCUAGAUCAUAAAAAAAAAAAAAGAACAUAGUAAUUUAAAAUUCGACCUGAAAACAAGUAAAAUCCAGGCAUGGAAUUAUUCUAACAGGAAUCGAACUUGGGGUAACUAUUAUUUUAUUUUUUUACAUUCGAAACAAAAAUCAAAUAAAUAAGUAGUCUUUGUAAAAAAAAAUAUAUUUAUCAAUAAAAUCUAGGCAUGAAUUAAUUUUAUUUUGAAUUUUUUAAAUUUACGAGGUCUUGUUAAAAAAAAAACAAUAAAUAAGUAAUCUUUGUAUUCUUCUUUAAAAAAAAUAUUCUACAUUUUGUCAAUAAAAAAAAAAAAAAAUCUAGAUCCGUUCCAAAAAAUAUUCGAGAUACUUCUUAAUUCUCAAACAUGAUUGAUAUUCACCACACUAAGUCACGUGUGAUGCAUAUGUAUGACCAACGCGGGUAGAGUCUUGAGACACGGCUUGGACGCGCAUUUGAUGACGUUGGCCCUAUAAUAUCCAUUUCCAUAUUCUUAAACUUUAAGGAAGGAAGUAAAUUUCGUCAACUCAUGUCUGAUGUUGAUAUUUUAAGCACACUGAUGAGAAUGAUUUUUUAUGUUCUGUAUCAAAUUAUUGCAUUAAUGUUUUUAGUUUUGUUAUGAGUUUUUUCAUAUGAAGGUCAUACGAGUCUUAUUUGUUGGGUAUUGGGCUCCCUUUCUAUGUGGGGAAAAGUUUAAAUAUGUUAGUCAAUUAUGUCUCACUUAUAUAAGUGGAAAGAUGUCAUAUUAUAAUGAAGAAGAGAGUGAUUUUGUGAUGAUAGUAGCCACCAAAAAGAGAGAGAAAAGAAGAGAGAAAGUCAAUAUCGUUUUUAUCACGUCUGUCUCAGUAAAACAAUGAUUUCAACUCGUUAACCGUUGGAUCGGGCUGAUUUCCUGGGUCUACCUUUUCACCGUUUGGAUCGUCGAAACAAGGCCUGAGCUGAGAGAAAUUCGCCACACACAGAAGCAGUACUUUUAGAGUAUUUUCAUCUUUUUGUUCUCAUUUGCAAGCUUUGUUGCUUUGUUGUUUUGGCUAGUUGCUGGCAGUUGGCACUAUUUGUGCAUCAUUUUUUAGACUCUUUUGUACCCAUGUUUGAUUAUAGUGGAUCUAUUUCAUUGGUCUGGACGACUCGUGGUUUUUACCCUUACAGUAAGGGGUUUUCCACAUUAAAACAUUGAUGUUCUCUUAUGUCUUUUAUUUGCUUUCACUGCUGUCGUUUAUUUGUUGUCGCUCCUCAUAGAUUCUUGCAAGUUUGGGGAAUUUUAUUUUCUCUGUAUAUUUUGGUGUGUUGCCAUAUUUAUGUGUUAAUUUCCCAACAUUAUAUAUAUUUAAACAGUAGGUUUAUCAUUUGAAAAUUUAAUUUCCCAUUACAAAAAUUUGAAAAGUAGGAAAGCUCUAUCAUGAGAAGCCAUAUCUGAUUCAUUGUUCUCGUUCCUUUGCCAUAGCAUAGCAUUAGCAUCCAAUCCAAGCAAGCACCUUUCAUGGAUGAAACCAACUGACUUCAAGAAAGUUGACAUUUACUUCACAUGCUUUGUACUUAAUUAUUCCAUAUUUUAUUUAGAAGAAUGAUUACGUAUAUUUAUUAGUAUAAAAACAUAUAUUUUAUUUUUAGGGAAUCAAGUACAUAAUUUUAUAAAAACAAAUAUAUUGAAGUAAUCCCCUAAAAAAAUAUUGAAUUAAGAUUCAAUCGGGAUCAAAUUAGAUACAAGCAUCUUACAGUCAUUCAUAAUAAGAGAGUACAUGUAGUGGGAACAACAUGGAAAAUAAACGGGCGAGGAGGAGAUAAGGCGGCUCUAGCAAUACUAUGAGCAACCUUAUUUACAUACCUCAUAACAAACGACACCAUAAAGUUGUGAUUACUUAACAAGAUAUUUUUACAUUGAACCACAAGGUCUCCAAAUUCAUUGAGGGGAGUAGUAGUAGAGUAAAGUGCAUUCACCAAGGAUCUACCGUCAGUUUCAAAUAUAACAUUAUGCACACCAUUGGAGAUUGUCAUCUUCAUAGCUUCUAGCAACCCAAUGGUUUCCACUUCAAGAACAGUAGCAGAAAUUUGCAAGUAAUAUGAUUUUCCAAGUAAAAUUUGCCCCAAUGAAUCUCGAAAGCACAUACCAUAUACACUACCAUGGAAUUGUUGUUGAAAAUAGAGGCAUCCACGUUGCACUUGAUCACACCAUUUGGAGGUUUCCUCCAUGAGAAGAUGUUGUCCGGCCUUUUGCAUUCAGCUCUACUCGCGGUGAACAUCACGGGCACGAGAUACGAUGGCACUGGGGUAGUAUCGAUAUAUUCCCAUAACUUCAGAUUGCGGCUCUUCCACAAACUCCAAAGAGUCAUGGCAGUUGUUAGCCUUUGAUGUUCUGUUAACCUGUCAAGUAAAUCAAAUAGCAUAGCCGUAAAAUUAUCUACCAUUUGUACCAUAUUUCGGAUCAAGCUGUCAAUACCAAUUAUUUUCCAACAAGUUGUGGCCUAAGUGCAAAUAAAAAAGGUGUGCAUAUGCGACUCCGUAAAAAGAUUACAAGAUACACGUGAGUCGUCACAAGGAAUACCACGAACAAAAAGGUUAGACCGGGUAGGCAAACUUUGAUGAGCGAAACGCCAAAGAAAGGAACGAACUCUCGGUGGGACCUUUAAAUUCUAAAGGAGCUUCCAAGAAGGGGUGAGAUGUGUUGUGGAUGAUUCUUGCAAGAGAUCGAUGCAUAUUUUGUACGCAGAUUUUACCGUAUAGGAGCCAUCAAGUGUUGAAUUCCAGAUACGGCAGUCUUCACUUGGACAGUUAUAAAGAAGAGUGGAGAGAAUGACUGUGGCGUCCGAAUGUUUUUUUUUUAUUUUUUAAAUCAGCAAAUAUUAUUAAACGCCAUCCCCGCAAGACGCAAGGUAUGGACGAAACAAGAUACAAAUGGUGCCGCAUAUAGACGGUACACCAUAACAACCAAACAAGCUCCUGAAGAUAACCCACCAAAUCACAUCAUCACCUAAGACGAACACCUUAACAGAAACAAACACUGUAAAAAAAAAAAGAUUUGUGGUUGCAAUAUUUAUAUUGUGAUUGCAACCACAAAUCUAACAUGGAAACUUUAAAGCGGAGAAAUAGACUACUCUCAAACACAUACCAUCCCCAUAACAUCCACACCCUACAAAGUAAAUACCUAACUACAUCUCACAACACUUUAAGACAAGAGUAUAAGAGAAAUAAAAAAAGUCUGAUAUAAACUUAAAGUAUGACUAGUUCAUUUUGUAAUGAAGAAAUAGAACCUAUAUAUAGGCAUUACUUUGCUCGUCUUGCACUUCGAGAACACAACCCCAUAGCCUACAAUACUUGUCAAGCAAGAAAGUAAACAAACAUAGAAACCAUAUUACUUGUCUUGCACUAAAAGAAACAACGUUACAACCUACAAGACUUGUCAAACAAGAAAGUAUACAAGCGAAUGAGUCUCCUUGGUUGUCUUGCACUUUAACCUCUUCCUUUACAAUUUUAAGCAAUGUGAGACUUCUUAAACAUGUACGUUUUCAACUACGAAAACAAUCUCCACCUUAAUUGAAAAUGAUACAUCUACUUUUAUUGUCUUCACCGGUUCAAAAGAACCAUCAUACUCCACUAAAUAGAGUAUAAUCAUUUUAAGCUAAACCACUUCAAGAACUUUCACAUUGGGAAGCUUCUUCGACAUGUAUUAUGUAUAUUUUCAACCAACACCAACAUACAUUAUGCAUUUCUAGAACUUAUUUGCAUCCAAAACCUUUGAUUACCGUAAAAAAUAACUUUGAAUCAUCUCAUCCAAACAGUAUUGAGUCGGUGCUAUGCAUAUAUGAAAAUAAAUAUCAUGAAAAUAGGGGCCAUUCCUCCCAAGCUCAGCGCUCGGCUCACUUAAAGGACUAGACUUUUAAAUUGCACUUGUAGUGGCGAAGAAAGUUUACACUUUAGAUUGAAAGCAAGAACUUGUGGAUGGUGAAGAUUGCAUAUUCCUUUUCUUAAUGCUUAGACGCGUUGAAAGUUUGUGGUCAAACUGUUGCAUAUGGACUAUGGUCCUGAAUAUUAUCACUUUCCUAUAUAUGUCUAUCAUCUAAUUUUAUAAUAUUGUGGUCGUUAUUAGUAUAUUAAACUGUACUUGCAGAAAAGCACAAUAACAUAAUUUAAGUUUAGACUGUUUAUGAGAUGCAUUGAAAGUGCUCCUAAGGUGGUAUUCAUAGUCUCUUUAUGAGUUUAUUUUAGCGUGACUUCAGUCCCAAGGAAGUUGGGCCUUUGGUCUUUUAGGCGGUUUCUAGAAGCUAAGAAAGGCGGCGUCCUAGGAAGGACGCGCCUAGAUCUCAGGAGCCCUUCUGGAGGGCGUCUGAGCCUUUUUAGAGGACUUUAAGCCUUUCUAGAGGGUUUUUAAGCUUUUAAGAAUAUUAUGACGGUCCAUAAAUCAAAUUUGUGACUAAUUUUCAUUUAAGUGUUUUCAUUCUUCAAUAAAAAAAGAAUGCAAUUUUUUUUCACAAUUCUUUGUGUGUGACUAGAUAACCAAUAUAGUUGCUUCUUUUAAUAUGAAUCACACAUGUAGAUAAUCAUGAUUUAAAAGAUUCUAAAAGAAUCCCCGCUCCCUUUUCCAAAGUUUUGGAUGAGAGGAAGUUUGUGUUUCCAUUCAUGAUUUGGUUGAUAAAGACGAUUUAACAGUGACAAAUUAAAAGGGUAUUGAUAUCAUAUAUAAAAAUUUAGAUUUCAUAACUAAAUACUACUUUGCCUAAAAAAAAAAUAAAAAAAAAACUAAAUACUACUUGUACAUUAUUCAUGUGUUGUGACAAGUAACUUUUCCAAAAAGAAUUGUAUAUCUUGGUUAAAAAAUGUACAUUUGCAUCCCUUUGGAGAUAAAAUCUUUGAUGAGCAUAACCCUAAAUUAAAAUGAUUUGGGCACACUUACAAAACAUAAAAAAAUAAUUGAUGUGAUUGAUUUAUUUUUGUUUUAAUUUUUUUCAUUUUAUGCAAGUGUGUCUAAAUCUUUUUAAUUUAGGGUUAGUGACUGUAUUAGACUUUCUCUCAUUUGGAUCUUCUCUAGAAUCAAUAAAUUCGUUGUUUAAACCCAAAGGCAAAUUAUUUGGAGUUUAACGGAGAUACAUCGACCAUGUAGUUUUACACCGUUGUCUAUUAAGAAUAUAUAAUCUUUUUUUUUUUUUUUUAAGAAACAAAAAUGGAAUAUAUUACUAUGAACACCGUAAUUGUUGAAGCACAAGACGUGCCAUAACAAUCACGAAAAGAUCACAACCCCAAAAUUACAUCAAAGAUAAUCGAUGCCCAUAAUUAAAAGCGGGCUCGACCACCAACUAUGUGUACCAAAAAUAAAGACUAUGUUACUAGCUUUCAACCACCACAAGGUUUGUGAUUUUACUUUAUCUAGCAAUAGUGAUAUAGAACUUUGACGAUUCUGAAAUAAUCUGUCAUUCCGUUCAUUCCAUAAAACUGAAACACACUGAAGCCAAAUCAAAUGAAAGAAGGAACGACAAGAUUUCAAGCCACCUGCAUAUUCAAUAAAUUGCACAAAAUGAUCUAAGAUAGCAUGAGAAUCUACCCCUUCGACACCAAGCCAAGCCCGCACCAUAGGCCACAAUGCAUCAAAAAUUGGACAAGACAAAACAAAUGAUUCACAUCUUCAACCUACCCACAUCCCGUUACAUAAAACCGAGCUUCCACAGAUAGAAUCCCACGUUCUACCAAAUUUGAUUUAGUAGGUAAACGAUCCCUCAACAGUCGUCAAGCCAAGAUAGAAACUUUUAAAGGAACCUGUUUAUGCCAGAUUAACUCCAUAGUUUGAUGAACAUGAGGUCGUUCCUGUGAUGUCAACAUGUCAUAUACACCACGAACAAUAUAACCUUUAAUCUGAUCCGGCAACCACAACCACCUGUCUGUUUCCUGCAAAGAGACUGUUAGUAAUAAAUCCAUACACUCUACUAACAAUUCCUCCUCCCAUACCCAUAAACGACGACGCCACUGCCCCCNCCCCCCACCAUCCUCCACCCCCAACAAAAACAUGUUCCGCACCGUAAUUACUUUAUUGACAGCUAAAUCAUAUAGCCGCCUAAAACGCACACACAACGGAACACUACCACACCAACAAUCUCGCCAAAUAUCGGUAUCGGCUCCAUCCCUCACCCUCCUCCACACAACCUGCAAACCAGCCCUCCCCACCCUCGCCUAUCCCAUCUCUAAUCCUAGCUAUCUCCCUCCACCACGAAGAACAACUCCGGCCCCCAUCCUCCAAACCACCAUCCGCCAUACCAUACCUAGCCAACAACACCCUACACCACAAACCACCCCUAUCAACUAACAAACGCCAACACCAUUUCACCAACAGAGCAAUGUUAAACUCUCUCAACCUCCUAACACCCAACCCUCCAUACUCCCUCCUCAAACACAAAGAACUCCAACCAACCCAAGAAAUCUUUCUUUUUUCCUCACAACCCCCCCAAAAAAAUUUAUUUAACAAAGAUUCAAUAGAAGAGAUUAUACCUGACGGAGCUUUAAAAAAGGAAAGUGCAUAAACAGGAAGCGCAGUCAAGACGGAUUUGAGAAGUAUCAAGACGGAUUUGAGAAUAUAUAAUCUUAUCAUGUAAGUAUAUAUUAUAACUGUUUUUUUAAAUAACCGACAAAUAUUUAAUUUUUAAUGGACGUCAGUAUAAAACUAAUUGACACUGAUUGUGUAUAUUUCUUUUUCUCAAUUAUUUAUUUAUUAGUUAUAGUUUUUCUAAAGAAAUUUAUUAUUACUAGUUAAAAUAGUAAAUAUUAAAUAAUAACCCAAGUGUUAGGGUUCUCUCAACAACAAAAAAAAAAACAUGUGUUAGGGUGUUAGGCUGUUAGCGGGUUGUGUGGGGUUGAAUUUCAUGGAACUCAAUAUUCAAAUCAAUCAAUUGACAUGAUAUGUUAAUAAUAUCUCUCAAUGCUAACAAUAUCUCUUUUUUAUAAGAAUUGACAUGACAAUAAAGAAGUACUUUAUAUAUAUAUAUAUAUAUAUGACCGUAAGUAAAUAUAUUGAAGCAUAAUAUUUUAACGUCGGAGACCAUUUUGAUUAACAUAAUGCAUAAUCAUAUACUAUUUUAAAAUUUCGAUACAAUGAGAGAUUAUUGUAUUUACUCAUUACACAUUCAAGGAUGAAAAUGACCAUUUGACCAGUUAAAUUUAAGCUUCAAUUUUAACAAUUAAAAAAAAUAGAUUUGUGAUUUGAGUCAAGUGAGUUUAUAAGGAUUUGAGUGUCGACCAUUUGUGUCUGGCAUAGUACUUACACUUAAUUUGCAAGAUUUAUUAAAUAUAUAAUUAAGAUUUUAAUGAAUAUGCUCGGUCAAUGUAGAUUAAUUUUACACUGCCAUCCUAUAUGAAUAAACUGUUUCUAUUUGACAUACCAUUAAAUUAGAGUGAAGUGAUUUGACGAAAUACAGAGUUGUUAAUGGAUGACGAACCACUUGAGGUUUAAACAAGUUUGUUAUGCUUGGAUCUCAAUUUGAAUGAAUGCGGGUAAAAUAUGAGUUUGAUUGAUUUUUUGAUCGGUCCAAUGACGGUCGAGGAAACAAAAUUGUGGUUUACGAUGCUCUGGUGUGACGGAGGUCGAGUCUUCAUGGUGGAAGAGGAAAUUGUCUACAAACAUGUUAGCACUUCAACGCUUAAACUAGUAAUUGAAAGAGAUGGUUAUGUGCGGAAUAUGGUAAAAGUGAAGUGUACCUCGAGGGUGACGCUCAAUCUCCCUUAUAUAGGCGCAGAAAGCGCGAAUGGUCUCCGCAAAAUUUGACACCUUCUUAGGAGGCCGUUGGUGAUUGCGUGAACGGUGGUGAUGGAGUUAGGGUGUACUUUUGUGCGGUGAUCUGCACAGGACUUCAGAUGCUCCUUCACCGUGUUUUGCCUUGUUUGUCUUGGGCUUUGACUUAACGUACCUUGCUUUAUUGGGCUUCAAGCUGGUCUGAAACAAUUUGAAUCAUCAGAAAAUUGCUCUUCUCCCUUUCAAAAUUACUCAUUCUCUUAACUCAGCGGAAGUUAACUCCGUCUAAGCAUUUAUCAGCGUGAAUUAUCUUUCGCUGACACUUUUAAGAUCAGUACAAUCACUUUUUAAGCCGAUUCAACUGAUCUUAAAGGUGCUAGCGUGAGUUAACCCACACUGAAAAAUAUCGAACGGGAAUUAACUCCUAUUAAAUUAAGGGAAUGAUUUUCGAAUCACUUAGUUGAACAAACCAUGCGGACCAUGAACAUCCUUGCCUAUUUGCUGGAUGGUGACAAAUUUGUGUAGGUGUUCCCCCCUUUGACACUGUAUUUUGUUGUUUUCCUGCAUAACACCAAUGCAAAUGGCUGGCUUCAUGUACAUUUUGUGACAUAACUAAAGUACUGCUUGCAAGUUGUACUUCGAGCUAUGAUUCUUUUUACUUUUAAAAACUAAAAUUCUAUUGUUUAAUUGACUAGAUGAGAGAGAAAAUAAUGAAAAAAAAUGUCGAAUUUGGGUUUUUAUUCAAUAUAUUUUGAAAAAAUAGUCCAAAAAUGUUUGAGAGAAGCUUAUCCAAAUCAUAAAACUCCCGAAAGGUCAUAAAAAGCAAAACCUGCCUUUCUUUCAUUUUACCCCUUGAUCAUUCUGACCAAUCGUAACUAGAAUUUUUUAUAUUGUUUUUCAAUGGCAAAGAAAGAGUAACGUAGUUAAUUAUUAUUAAUUAAAAUCAUUAUUAUUAGUUAAUAUUCGUCUCUGCUAAAUUCCUGCAAAUUCUCUCAGACGGAGGAAGGAGGUUACAUCGCCGCCAUCAAUGUCUUCUCCUUUCUCCAUCCCCACUUUCUGGUACGUUCUCUUCUCUACCAUUUCUUGCAAAUUUAUGAUGAACCCUAAUUUUUCUCAAGCAUUGUGUGUUGUAGAUAGAUUGUAGUUGGAAGGGAAAGAGGCAAUGGAGGAGGAGACAAGUCAAUGGAAGCAAGCUUUGAUUAAUUCAUCAGCUGGUGCUAUUUCUGGUGCUAUUUCACGGACUGUCACCUCACCUCUUGAUGUUAUUAAGAUUAGGUUCCAGGUCUCUUUCUACUCUUCUUCUUCUUCUUCUUAGGAUUUGUUGCUUAUUGUUUAAGAAUUUAUCAUAUAACUGUGUUGUUUCUAUAAAAAAAACAUAAAAUAAAGUUAUACUCUUUUUGCAUAGACUAUAGUUUUUGAAUAAAUUGAUUUUACUUCGAAAUGAGUUGAAUGUGAAAUGGUUUAUGUUUGGAUAUAUUUACAUGAUAUAUUUACAUCUUGAAACUUUAACAAAAUCAUGGUACUACCUUGAUUUUGUCAAAUUCAAUGCCAACUCAUACACUCACUUCACCAUUCACCACCACUAUGGGGUUGUUUGUUUUGGGGGAGGUUCAACAUAUGGUAUCAUGUAUUUUCACUCAACCCUUUCUUUUUGAAAGACAUAUCUUUGUUUCGAAAGUAUUGUAGUCAUUUAUUUGACUGCAAAUAUUUGCUUAAAAAUAAUUUUCGAUGUUUGUGUGAUGAAUAACAUACACAAGAAUCAACACCAUCUCUGGUGUGGCAAUAUGUCUUUAUGAAUACUGGCAUUUUUUUAUGGUUAGAAGAGCCGACUUUACCUGACAUGCUGAGGCUUGCUUACAGUUUAUCUUGUCUUGGUAAAUUGAAAGAGUGUGGCUAUCUAGCACUGGCUUGGAUUAUGAUGUGCUUUCUAUGCCUGAAGUUUAAAUUAGAAAUUCUGAAUUUCAAGCUAAUUUUUUUUCUUACAUGUCUGAUUGGGAAUAGAGUUAAUGUCGUUUUCCCCCCCUUUCAUUUCCAUGUAUCAUUUUGUUAGAUUACAAAGGGUCUAUUGACUAUUAGAAAAAUGAUAUUCAUUUGCCGGUGAUAAAAAAGAUCUUCAAUUUGCUUUACAUAUCAGGUAUAUCAGUCAUUUUUAUGUGAUUGGCAUCAUUUUACUAAAAAAAUAUGACCUCAGGAUGAUUCCAUUGACAUGGGACUACAUGAUGAGAUUUGUUUAUGCAUGUUGAUGUCUAGAAGUUUUGCAUGAGAUUUGAGGUUCUUUGGUUCAUAACUGGUCUUUAUUGCUUGCUCUAUUAUAAAUGCGAGUAGCAUUAAGAUGCUAUAACUGUUAUUCACAUUCAUUGACAGGUUCAACUAGAGCCGACUUCCUUGUGGACGUCACUACAUAGGGAUUUGUCUAAACCCUCAAAAUAUACUGGCAUGUUUCAAGCAACCAAAGAUAUUUUUAGAGAAGAAGGCAUACGGGUAGAAUAAUUCAGCUUCUGUAAUUUAUUUAUUUUAAUUUCCCCUAUACUCUACUUCCUUCAGUAACCUGUCCCUGUUCCCAUAUCCCUUGAAAAGGUUUUGGACUUUGGCUGAUGGCAACAUUAGCAUUUGAAACAACGCUUGAAUUGCAAAAAAGAUCUUGUGGAAGAUUCACAUCGACCUUUACGCCAUGGAAAAAUGUAUAUAACCAUUUUUAUCUGGCAUAUUAUAGGGAUUUUGGCGGGGUAAUGUGCCAGCUUUGCUCAUGGUUAUGCCAUAUACAGCUAUACAGUUUACUGUUUUACACAAAUUGAAGACUUUUGCCUCUGGUUCAUCCAAGACAGGUAUCCUAAUUUGUAGAAUAUUAGCUUGAUGAGCAAAGUAAACACUAGGUGUUUGUCUACUAAGUUUUUUUGGUUGGAAAUUUGUUUGGAAUAUGGUUAAUGUGACUGGAAGGUCACGGGUUCAAGUCCUGGAAACAGCCUCUUGUGUAAAAACAGGGUAAGGCUGUGUACGAUACACCAAAUGGUGGGACCCCUUCCCGGACCCUGCGUAUGCGGGAGCUUUAGUGCACCAGGUUGCCCUUUUUUUUUAUGGUUUAUGAUUGAAUGUUAUGGCGUACUUUGAUCCAUGUAGCCAUCCCCACUUAGUGGGAUAAGGCUUGGUUGUUGUUGUUGUAUAAAUUCUUCAUGUUUUUUACAGUAUAAUGCUAAAUUAAAAUUUUAUCUCAAUAAUUUAUUUAUUUUUGGUACAAUUUACUAAUAUAUUUUCUGUGCCAAUGUUCACUUUCGAGAUAUUAGUGAUUAAUUAAUUACUGCUGGGUUUCCUGUUCUAGAUUUAUUUUGUUCAUUGUUUUAAUUCCUGUUGCUGCAGAGAAUCACAUAAAUUUGAGCCCUUAUCUAUCCUAUGUAAGUGGGGCGGUAGCUGGGUGUGCGGCUACUGUAGGGUCAUAUCCAUUUGAUCUUCUUCGAACUAUAUUAGCUUCUCAGGGUGAACCGAAGGUACGAGCACUAUAUAAAAUAAUCAAGGUUAUUAUGAGAUAGUUUUGAAAUAAAUUACUGUCACAUAUAUUGGUGUGUUUUAAAGGCCAGUGAAGGAAAAUACAAGCAGCUAUCAUGAUCAACCUACAUUCUCGGUCCCAAUUUGCAUUUCCAUGCAUCAAGCCCAAAGGCUAUUGCCAGAGGGCAUUAGAGAUGUAAUAUAAACCAUUCUUGUGUAUUCACAUAUCAACUUAAGCAUUUGGGAUAAUGGAUUCAUGUCAACUUUUUUUUUCUUCCAAUUUUCGGGCGGGAAAGGAGUGUUCACCUUUGUUUGCUUCUUGUCUACUUAGUGGUAUUUCACAUGGGCUUUUGUCAGAUCUUAUCUCAUGUAUUAUUUUAGUGGCAUAAAAGCUAAGUUAAACCUUAUGUUUAGUGAUCGCCUAGAAAGGCACCACAACAUGGUUGUUUGUUGUAAUGGCAUUAAAGAAGUGCCCAAAAUCUGUUUCCCUAGCUCUGAUCUUAAAAUGGUUGUAUGGAAUAUACCCCACCCUUAGAUUCAUAUGAGAUUAUAAUCAGUAAUGAAAAGGGUUAGCGCAAUGAGGAGUUAUUGCCAUGCGACUGGAAGGUUAUGGAUUUGAUUCACGGCAUUAAUAUCUUGCAGUUGCAAUGUAAGACUGCCUAUAAUAGAUCCAAAUACAUUUGAAUCUUCCCUAAACCUCACAAUUGUAGGAGCUUUAUAGCACCAAUUUAUCAUUAUUAUAAUCAGUGAUGAGCUAAGAAACAUAGAUACUGUAUUUUUAAAAUGGUGGUAGACAUGACUGUCAUAUACGCAUAAAAUUAAAAACAACUAUCAUAUGCAUAAUUAGCCAUAAAUCUGAAAUCCAAAGAAAAAAUAAAAUGAGUUACUGUAAUAUUAUUAUUUAUCUAAUUAUUGUGGUAUUUUAAUCUUAAUUGGUAUAGAAGUCCAGAAGUAAAAAAAAAUGUAAAAUAUAAGUAGAAGUGUCCAUAAAGUGGCGGCGCAAAUAUGUAUUUGACACAGCUAUGACAUGACAACUACUAUUCGCUUCAUUUGUAAUGCACUGCGUUUGUGUUUCACCCUGCAGAUAGGUGGGGGGAACUCAUCUUCUACCCCUAGACAAUAUAAGCUUUGAGUGCAUAGUUUGAGACUUUUAUGGUCAUUGUGGAUUUUUAAUUUUUUUUUUUUUUUUUGUAUUUAUGUUAUGCUAAUAUUUCCCUAGCAUAGGUUUAUCCAAACAUGAGGUCAGCAUCCAUUGAUAUUCUCCAGACCCGUGGAUUUCGAGGCUUGUAUUCCGGAUUGUCACCGACACUAGUUGAGAUUAUACCUUAUGCAGGCCUACAAUUCGGCACUUAUGAUACAUUCAAACGUUGGACCAUGGUAAAAUUUCAGUCCUUCAAUUUGAGGUGUCAGUUUUAUUUAAUUGACAUAAAUAUACCCUGCAUGUAUUGGACGUCAUUUGGUUGUUGUGAAACAACGGUAUGGUCUUAUAUUGUGUCGUACUUAAUAUUCUAGCCUGCUUUUCCUUGUCUUGUCCCAUCAUAUUACAAUCUUCAUUGAUGUGAAAUGAUUCUAGAAGAACUGUAAUGUCUCAAGAUGCGUCAAUUAGUUAUUUGCAAUGAUAAGUUAUUGUUUACAAGGGUUACUUUAUGUUGUCUCAUAUUUUCUUCGCAUGGUUGAAUCUUACAGCAACCGAAGUCUUUUCAUACUACAUUGGAUCAAUCGCAUGAAACAAACAAUGUUGUAUCAUUUCUUGUAUGAUAUCUGGGAAUGGACGCUCAUGUGUAAUUUACACAUGAGAGAGUAAAGUGUAAGCUAUGAGUCUAUGACCAUUCAAACUCCAUCUAAAUUCUUCAUGUGUUUCUCUCUCUUAAUGAAUGGUGAGAGAUUACACUUUACUCUCAUGAGAGGAUCCAUUCCAGAUAUCUACAUAUAGCUCAUCAUUUUAAUCUCUCUUGAUAGUUUCCAAUUUAUUUGGUCUCGCUCUUCCUCUAACACAGUUGAAUCUUCAUUUCACUUUUAGAAACUGCACCAUUAAGCUGGUAAAUUCUACUGUGUAUACUUUUCAGAACUAUGUUUAGAAAUUAUUUUGCAAUAGCUAUUUAUUCUGCAUCAGCAAACCUAUACAGCAUUUCAUAUUCUUAUUAAAGCUGUGUCUGAAGCUCUACACCGUUAAUCAUGUUCAUCUCUAACACCUAGAUUAGGACUUUUGGGUCUGCAUUUCUUCAUGAUUAAAAUAUUGUAAAGAAAGUGGCUGACGAAGAAAGGAAACAUGGAACCGUUAAUACAAAAUUUGGUUCGCUUGUAAAUUGCAACAUCCAUAUAGAUAGAGUUGGGUUCCGCCAUAGGGCUAAUCAAUGCUUUGAUAUUACUUUCUAGCUAUCAAUUAUUUGAUCCCUGUUCUUUAAUAUUGUAUAUAGGCGUGGAACCAAGUUCAAUAUUCAAAUACUGCUGCAGAAGAGAGCAUCUCUAGCUUUCAGCUUUUCCUGUGUGGGCUGGCUGCAGGAACAUGUGCCAAGCUUGUUUGUCAUCCACUUGAUGUAGUCAAGAAAAGAUUUCAGGUAGAUUUAGAACGUGGAAUACAAAAACAUAAAACUAAGUAAACUUGUAUUGGCCUUAAUGUGGAUAUACAUAUGGAUUUUCGUUCUUUGUUUGCUGCAGAUUGAAGGUUUGCAAAGGCAUCCAAGAUAUGGAGCUCGGGUUGAGCAUCGUGCAUAUAGAAAUAUGUUUGACGCCUUGAAACGGAUAUUACAGAAAGAGGGUUGGGCUGGUCUGUAUAAGGGGAUAGUCCCGUCUACUGUUAAAGCUGCACCAGCUGGUGCUGUAACUUUUGUUGCAUAUGAAUUGACAUCAGAUUGGCUGGAGUCUAUUUUGACUUGAUUUUUUAUACACUCCAAGAUAAAGGAGAGGGUUUCAUGGUUUUUUUUUUUAAUCAUGCUGUCUCAAUUAAUUACCUCUUGAUAGGAAUGAAUCAUGCGGUAUAUGGUGGUUUAAUUCAAUCAAAAUAUACCUGAUAUGAUUCAAUUUACUUUUCAAUAUGGAAACAGUUUAAAAUAAAAGCUAAGAUGUUGCCUAGUGACACAUUUUACUUUUACUAAUUGGUGUGCUUCAGCUACUGAGAUGGUUAUUAUUCUUGUUAAGGUGAUUUUAAAUUCAAAAUUUAUCCAAAAUUUCACAGCAUUUCCUUCUUUCAACUAUAUCUCGGACAAAUCAGGGUUUCAAGAUUUAACAUAUGACAGGUUUUGCUUAAGUCGGAAGUGGUUAAUAUUCAUAUUUUCUAACAUCAGAGUCCACCAAAUGGUUUCGGUAUUUGAUAUAGUGCCUUUUCCCAGAUAAAACUCAAGCUCAAUAUGCGAGUGAUAUAAUCACACAAGUUAAGAACAUAAACAUAUAUUUAUGAAUUAUGUUGCUAAGCAAGAUCUUAAUUUGCUUAUAAUAAUUUAUAAAAGAUAAGAGGCUUUCAUUAAAGCAUAUUGUUGUGAAACACAGAAAAAUGAACACACAAUCUCAACAAAUGGGUUACAACCCUUAUUACAAUCAAUUCCCUCUCAAAAGUUAAUUUCCAUCACAACAAUCAAACUUAAUUGUUGAUAUUACAAGUCUUUAUAAAAAAACCAAGGACCUUGGCCGCACUAGUGCUUCUUAAUACAGUGAUUACAGUUCAAUAAAGACCUGAGGCUAGAGUACUCGGCAUUCACUUAUCUGUUGAAAACAACCAAGUAUACUUUUCAAUAGUCAAAACUUAAUCCACAAUUCACUUCAAAUCUAUUUAGAACAGCCUUUGGUCAGAUAGGAAGCAAUUAGCAAUGCUGUGGUAAAGCCAUUUAUCUCAGUGUUUUGUUUUUAUCUUCGCUUCUUCCUUCUGGAGGAUGAGACAGAAAUUGCAAGAUUUUCUGAAUCUGACCAACAUCGACCCGGAAUUUUUCUGCGAUCUGAUGAACAUCCAUAGGCCCAUUGUGGUCAUCAGCCUUGCCUUCAUGCAAGAGGAUGAUAUGGCGCAACUGUGCUACAUUUAAAGUGCCUGCAGGAACCGGCCUUUCCUCAUAAUGACCAGAAUUUGGUUUUGUAUUUCGCAACUUCGGCAUGGGCCUAUUAUACUUCUCAACCACAGAUGCCUGUAAAGAUAUUAUCAAAUUGUAAGAUAGGUUUGUCUCAGUAAACUAUGCACUAAAUAGUAAAGAGCAAUGCGUUGACAAUUGAAACUAUGCAGUCAUUGAAAAAAUAUAGUUUGCAAAAACUUCCGAAAGGGUUUAUUUCUCUCUCUUAGUAAAAUAAGCUUGAUCCAAGCAAAUACCAAGUACGCUGCAAAGCUUAGUCUAAUUGUUAUGUUCCUAUAGCAUUGUCCCAGUACCAUGAAUAAACAUUGACAGAAACCAUAAACUCGGCAUUUACUAUGAACACUGGAGAGAUUUCUCCAUUUAUUGCAAUAUUAGAAACAUAAAGUAUACAGCAAAGUAUUUUAAGCAAAAUAUCAGCUAGUAACAUACAAUCGGAGGUAGGAUUACUUUAGCAAAUUUCUUUUCAUUAAAACUAUAUUUGAAUUAAUACAUGAUAGGAAACUAUGAAAUCGUCUGACAUAUGUAACCAAUCCCGGCUUGGAGGUUUAUUGUUUGUGUUCCUUUCAUCUAACAGCACAAGCCAACAUACAAAAAUGGGAUUUCAUCACUCAUCAAUGCUGAUAAUACCAUCUUCUAAGCCAACAUACAAAAAUUUUUAUUGUUUGAAUUAAUGCCAUCUUUCAUUUAAUACAAUUCCAUUGUAGGUGUAAAUAUCAAAAUGGGUAAGCAUACAUGACAUACGACAUUAAAAAAAAUUACAUCGACAUGAACUCCAUAAAAGGGAGUGAAGGUAACUUCCACAAACUCACCUCACCCAUUUCUCGUUUUCCCCCAGGCUUUGAUGUAAUCCUACCAAGCAUUUGACCAAGCAUAGCAUCAAAUUUGGGAUCUUUUUCUUCUAGGACGUUGUCCAAAUUAGCACUAGGACGAUCAUCUUAAGUCAACACAUGAAAACACCAUCAACAACCAUGAACUAUGAAAGUAGCAUUACAAAACCUCACAUAAAGGUAUAUUGCAAACACACAAUUGUGACUAAGGGAAAACUUCACAGUUAAAAAUAAGCUAUAGGCUACAGCUAGAAAUUUCACAGUUGAAAAUGCAAUGAAGUGGAAGAUUUCAAAGUUCAUGUUAAUUUGCUUGAUAGAGGAAGGAAAUGGACACACGAUUGAAAAUCUACUUCUAAAUAAUAGCCGUUGCAAAGACUAUAAUAACUUUUUUCUUUUGUUACAAGUGCGUGAUGAAAAGUUAAUUCUAACUGUCUCAAAAUAUAUUGUGCUGCAGUUAACUAUUCCACAAUUUGAUUGAAAUUAGAAACAUAAAGUGUAAACUGUAAACUAUAGUUUCACCAAAAUAUUCACCUCUCCAUUUUCUACUACCUCUGUUGCACGGACACUUCUGAUUGAAGACGUGUCCCGGUGUCUGACACAUGUCCUGUCUGACACCAACACGACACACACCAACACGACACACUGACACUUGUGAUUACAUUGAAUUAUGUGAUUUUCUCAAAAUUUUGUCGAUGCCGUCGUGGCCGUGUCAGUGUCUAUGUCCGUGCUUCAAAGUCUACUACCUAUUUCAAGCAAAACCAAGCUGGUCCUAGGUCAUGGAUAUAGUUUCAUGUGAAAAGAUACAGAGUCUAUUUGGGUUGGCUUAUUUGAAGGUUAUCUACUAAUAUAAGUACAUGUGUGGCUGUUUGGGAUAUCAUGUGAAAACAACUUAUGACAUGACCAUAAGCUGUUUUCAGCUUAUUUCCACAAGCUAUCCAAGACAGCUAACAACUUAUAAUCUAAAUGAAAACAUAUUAACUUCAUUUUAUCCUUUGUUGUGGAAAUAACUUGCACAUAAGCACUCAUAUGGUAAGCAAAUAUGCUAUAGUAAGUGCUUAAUGAAAUGGUUUAUCUCAAUGGUAAAUUAAAAAACAGAACUUUCAACUGAAUAAUGAUAUUCACAAACCACCACAUUGUUCAGGGCCUUAGAAUCUUUGAAGUACCCAAUAACAUUUUCGAAUAUCUACAAUGGCAUAACCCUAACCAACAAAAAAUUAAAACUAGAAACAAAGAGAAAGAGAGACUAACCAUCGUUCAAUGAGUCUUCUACUCCUUUUACGGUCUUUGAGCUAUCUGCUGCCUUGUCAGUGGCAACCUUCGGCGGCGGUGGUCGGUGGUCGACGGCGAUCUUGGGCUUGGACAAGGAUGACGUGUCAGUUUCGGAUGCGGCACGGAUUCUGCCAGAUGCUCGACGAAAUGCCUGACCCAUUGUUAAACUCAGGCUUAUUGUUGUUCGCUACGAAAUUCGAUUGAUUAAUUCGUUAUUAUAGUUACAACCGUAAACAUCAUUGAAAACUAUGAAAGUUUGUAGUUGUUGUAGAAAAAAUAGAACCCCUGCGGUUUGUUGUUGUUGUUCCUGUUCGUGUUUACAAAGAAUAGCAUCAACCGAGAGUGACGUGGCCAGAGCCUAGAACGCAAGUUUAAACAACAUCAAAUUUAUUUAUUUUUGCUUAUUUUUAAGAGGUAAACAAUUACUUCUUUUUUUUUUUUGUCAAUUUAUGAAUCUUGUUAGUAAUAAAUUUAAAACUCAAAUUGAUAUAAUCCAAAAGAUCACAUAAAUUGUCUAUAUAGUAAAGUCAAGACAUCAAAAUUAAACCAAGACUACAUGCAUAUAAAACUCAAAUAUAUGUAGGAUUUGAUUUCACUCCGAGAACGGGAAUUAUAUAUAUUAAAAAAAAAUUCUACAUUACCCUCAUUUGUUUAGAGGGUAUUUACCCAUUCAAGAUAUCAACCAAUCAAAAUGUAAUAUACAAAUGUAAAAUUAAAUGUCAAAUAAAUGAGUCAAUUUUUCUAUAAAAAAAUCAAUUUUAAUAAGGUAACUUUUAUUUUUUUAUUUAAUUAUAUUUAAGUAUACAAUAUUAAUUAAUUUACACUAUAGGCUUGUGACAAUUAAAAUUUCACAUCAAAUUCAACCCAUCAGGAUGUGUUUGGUAACACGAAUUAGCUAGCUUAUAGCUUGUUGGACUAGCUUAUAAGCUUGUUUUGAUAUAAUAAGAUGUGUUUGGUAAAAAGCUUUUGUCACUAGCUUAUAGCAUUUUUUUAGAAGUUAUUUCAAGUAGCUUUUGAGCUUAUAGCUGGUAGUUAUUUUAUAUUUUCUUCCAAUUUUAACCCUAUUAAUUUAAUUUAAUUAUGUUUUAAUAAAACAACAUGUUCAUGGCUUAAAAAUAAUGGCCAAGUUCAUAGCUUAUUUUUUUAAUAAAACAACUGCCAUGUUUUCUCCUUUGAAAAAAAUUGUCAUGCUUUAUUUUAUUUUUUAAUGAACGCUUUAUAUUUAAAUAUAACUAGCUUACAGUACGUUGUAAAAUUUUAUAUAUUCUUGCUUGCAUUUUUUUUUCCACCUUCCUCUAUUUUUGGGAUUCAUAAAAGUACAUAUCAAUGAGCUUUUGCCCUCUUUUGUACAAAAAAAAAAAAAAAAACAGAGAUCAAAAUUGUCGGUGAAAUUUUAUUGGAGACUAAAACCAAAAGUUUGAAUAUUUAUAGGGAAUCAAAACAUAGUUAACCAUAAAUUAAAAUAUUAAAAAAUAAAUACCUUAGAAAAAAUGUGUGUAUAUAUAUAUAUAUAUACACAUACACAUGUACUUUUAUGUCAUUUUAUAUUUAUCAGCCACUUCAACAUCUAAUUUUACCAAACACUUCAAUUUUAAUAAACCAUAUUUUCAGAUAUAAGCUAUCAGUUAUAAGACAUCAACUAUAAGCUAGUUUUUCAGCUUUCAGCUAACUUAUAGCUUAUUUUUUUACCAAACACACCCCACAUACGUUCAUAAAUUUUGUUCAGUUCCAAAAUAUAGAACAUACAUAACGUGCAAUUUCUUCUUCAUUCUUCUUCCCAUCUUGAUUGUUCAAUUCUCUCGUUCCAGAAUUGCCGUCGUUUCCAUUUAUCGUGAGAAUCGUUUUCGUCCAUUUGAUUCCAGACAUUGUGAGAAUCGAUGUUGUUUCCAAAAGCUAUAUCCACAAAUUGCUCACGAAUUAACGCUCACCAUAUGAAAUUCAUGUUUGUAUUAGCAUUAUUUAUUAUUUAUUUAUUUCAUUUUGUCUUCUCUUCCAUAGCUUUAACCGACCUCACACCGUGUUCGCAAUCUCAACAAAUUUUCAUUUCAGCAACACAAAAUUCACCAGCAGGAUCAGAAACAACAUAACAACAUAAUAUAAUGAUUUGAAUAAAACAAAUUCCAAAAGUAAAUUUAAUAAUCAAUAUUGUACCAAAAAUAAAAUUAAUAAUCAACGCAUUGAAUCUUAAUCAAAUGCAAAAUGUGUGAUAAAAUACAAUUUUAUAUAAUCUCAAACAACUCAAUCAAACUCAAAACCCAAAUAAAAAUGAAAACAUCAUGGGAAUUCAUGUCAAAGUUGAAAGUCACCAAUGUCGCAUUAUAAAUGUGUUUUGGUUGCAAUCAAGUCACGACAGUAGUGAGAAAGAAACGAAAAUGAAAAAUCAAAUCAAGAAGAAAAAUCAAGUCACGAUACCUUAUGUGAUUAUUGAAACAACACCAAUUACUCACAAUGUCUGGAAUCAAAAGGACGACAACGAUUCUCACGAUAAUUGAAAACGACGACGAUUCUCGAACGAGAAAAUUGAACAAUCAAGAUGGGAAGAAGAAUGAAGAAGAAAUUGCACGUUAUGUGUGUUCUAGGUUUUGGAAUGGAACAAAAUUUAUGAACGUAUGUGAGGUGUGUUUGGUAAAAAUAAGCUAUAAGUUAGCUGGAAGCUGAAAAACAAGCUUAUAGCUGAUGUCUUAUAACUGAUAGCUUAUAUCUGAAAAGAUGGUUUAUUAAAAUUGAAGUGUUUGGUAAAAUUAGUUGUUGAAGUGGCUAAUAAGUAUAAAAUGACAUAAAAGGACAUGUUUAUAUAUAUAUAUAUAUAUAUAUAUAUAUAUAUAUAUACAUUUUUUCUAAUGUAUUUAUUUUUUAAUAUUUUAAUUUAUACUUAACUAUGUUUUGGAUCCCUAUAUAUAUUCAAACUUUUGGCUUUAGUCUCCAAUCAAAUUUCACCGACAAUUUUGAUCUCUACUUUUUAUUUUAUUUUUUUACAUAAGAGGACAAAGGCUCAUUGAUCUCUAUAAGCUAGCUUAUUCGUGUUACCAAACACAUCCAUGAUGGGUUGAAUUUGAUGUGAAAUUUUAAUUGUUACAAGCCAUAUAGUGUAAAUUAAUUAAGAUUGUAUAUCUAAAUAUAAUUAAAUAAAAAUUAAAAGUUAUCUUAUUAAAAUUGAUUUUUUUUAUUAGAAAAAUUGACUCAUUUAUUUGACAUUUAAUGUUACAUGUAUAUUACAUUUUGAUUGGUUGAUAUCUUGAAAGGGUAAAUACCCCCUGAACAAAAGAGGGUAAUCUAGGCCUCACCUAUAUUAAAUGGAUGGCUUGCAAAAGAGUUCCAUCACCACUAAGGUACACCUAUGCCUAUUUUUUUUUUAAAACAACCUAGUUCUUCUGUACAUGGAAAUAGAUUAAUGAUCUUAACAAUCAUGCUCAGAUAUCUUUCAAAAUUCAUCCAUUCAUGAUUACAUUAGAAUAACAUAGGCUUUCAGGUCAUUGGAUACAACAAACAUUUUAGUUGCCGCCACUCAGUGUUUGAACAAUGGUGUUGUGCCAUGGGUCUGAAAGGUGCUCCAAGAGGUUAUCAAAUCGUCCUUUUCCUGUGACAUUGUGCUGACUGAUAAAUCCCAAGAAUGCCAACAUUGCCAAUCUACCGUUAGAAAUUUCCUUCUCUUUAGCCUCCAAAGUUGGUGCAAAGUUCAAAGGGUUAAAAAUUCCACUGGGGUAACCAACCUCACCCUUUGGCAAGCUGUAUUGCUUGAAGAUAGGAUCUUGGUUGCCUAUUUUCCAAGUGUUAAGUCCUGCAAUUUUCAAGCAUAAUUAAAACAAUCACUAUGCUACAUAUACCAAGACUAUUUCAAAAUAUUUAUCUUAUUGGGUUCAGUCUUUUCUAUCAAGCAUUUUGCUAAUAUGAUCAUGCAGAGUAAUAUAGCCUUGCAUAUACUAAAUUUGAUCAUUAGAAUUCAUCAGAUGGAAAAGAUAAGCAUUAUGGUAGCAGUGCACACCUCCUUCACUUAAGUGACAUUGAUAUAGCAUUAGGCUUAAUAUGACCACAUAUAGAUUUCAUUUAUAAACUUUGACAGAAAAGCAUGGUCAUAUAUAAUGAAAAUGGUUUUAGCUACACAAAGUGACAUACAUGUGCAUAAUUUUAUAUUUUUAGAGUAUCCUUCUUUGUACUAUAUAAUACUAUAGCAGCACUUUGGUUGAUUUGACUUAAUCAAAAUUAAUAUAGCAACACUUUAAUUGCAAGGACAAAGCAGAUCAACAUCAAUUCAUCAUCUAAUACAAUAAGUACAUAUUUAUAUCAAUAUGCAUUCAUGUAGAAAACAUGUCAGAAAUAAAAUAUAUAAACUAUAGUUUAUAAACAUCAAAAUACAUGCUGAUUUUCAUUAUGUUAAAAUACUAAAUUGAAAAUAUUAGGUACACAAAUUGUUAUAAACAUCAAAAUCAAAAUCAAACUUGAAUUGGAAUAGUAUAACUAAUAUUGGAAUUGUCAAUGAAAUCGUAAAACAAAAUCGAUAUUAAAUCGAGAAAGAACAAAUUGAGUAAGAAAUUGAGAAAGAACAAAUUGCAUACCUACAUGGACGGUGGUCUUCAUAUGACGGUGCCAGAAGCAGAGGCGAUGAGGGUUUUAAAAACUUGGGUGAUUAAAAUUGUUGUGGUUACUAGUGAAAACGAUUAGGUUUUCAAUGAUGAAAUUGAAAGGAGGCGAUGGGAGGAGAAAUGAGAGAAGAGGCAAAUCUACUUUUUCCUUUUUCAAAAUAAAGAGAAAGAGAACGCUUAACCUGAAGAAGAAAGGGGACAUUGGAAACUGAUAAAAUAAUUAAGCGUGAGAAAUAAAAGCGUGAGAAUCAAAGUGGAAUGUUGAUUAGGAAUACCACUUAGAAGGAUUUAAUGCUAUCACAAUGGAGGGAAAAAUUAGAGUUGAAUUAGGGUAAAUGAUAGCUUGACCAAACAAGAGAAAGAUCACAAUGGAGGGAAAAAUUAGGGUUGAAUUAGGGUAAAUGAUAGCUUGACCAAGCUUUAGUAAGAGAGUAUUGCUGUUGACACAUUAUGUUUGGCUGAGAAACACCAGUAAAAUACCAAAAUACCCCCUCUGCAGUUAACUGCCGAGCAAAAAUAAAACCGGCUGCAGUUAACUGCCGAGGAAAACCUCGGCAGUUAACUACCGAGGAAAACGAAAAUCCAGAAUUAUCAUCAUCAUGUUCAUGCUCAUGAAAUUUUUGGAUUUGAUUGUUGAUUUAAUUGUGAAUUGGGAUUUGAAUUGAUUUUUUUCCUGUUAUGAGUCGAAAUCAAGAUUUAAUGUAGAUUUAAAUCUUUCUAUGAAGUGAACAGCAGGAAGUACAAAGAAUCAAUUAGAAGCAGUUUCAAAUGGAAAGGCAAUAAUUAGAAGCAAUUUCUAUGAAUUGAUUUGAAUCUUGUUUAUGCCACCAAUAAGCAGUUUCAAAUGGAAACGUAAAAAUUAGAAGCUUUAUUGUUUCCCUGUGAAUUAUUUCCUUUUGUUGUUUAACGGAAAAUGUAGACUUAAUGGUUGAAAGUAGAUUUGGAUCUGCUUCUGCAACGAAAUCGGUUGAGGGGAGGCAGGAAGUUUGAUCGAUUUGAGCUUUGAAUUGGGGUUUAUCACCCCCACUGACAACGAAGAUGAUGAUAAUUUAUGCCAAACAUGAUGUGUCAACAGCAAUACUCUUAGUCAGAAAGAUAAGCUUAUAUGACAAAAAAAAAACUUGUUAGAUAACUUAUUUUUCUUACAAUCUUAUAUCUUAUUUUUCUUAGUUUAUAUAUUAUCAUUUUUUAUGUCCUUUUUAUCAAUCAUACAAAUUAAAUCUGGUAGUUUAUCCGUUAUAAGUUCACUUAUGGAUAAUAAGUUUAUAUCGAAUUACUUAUGAGUUAGUUUAUUAUCCGCUGUGUUUUGCCAAAUAGAGCUCUAAGACACUCUCGCUAAUAAAUAAUUAGAACAUUUUAUUUCAUUUACAAUUUUAUGAAUAAAUUUCUCUAAGAGAACACAUGAUUGUUAAUUAAAUUACUUAAUAAAAGUUCGUAAAAUAUAUCUCAACUAAAAAUGAUGCGAUUGUUGGACCGGAUAUUUUCUGAUGUUAUCCGAGUUUAAACUAAGGAUCUUCCUUUGUGUGUUUUAUGAGGUGAUUGAUAAUAAUAACUAAUAAAAAAAUGUUUAGGGCUAAACCCUAAACCCUAACAAAUAUCUAAUUAUCAAUAAAUGAUUCUAUUGUUCAAAAUCAAUUUUGAGGAUUUAAUGGAUCUGAAUCCUAUAGAGGUCACACCUUGCAGGGUCAGUAUGGAUGGAUUUGAAUUGGAUAUGAGUUUAGAAUUUAUCUCUCUUAUAUCUUACAGCUGAGUAGUAGAAUUUUACAGUGCAGUUAAACUACAACAUCUUAUUAUAAUAAAAAGAAAAUCAAACUACAACAUUGGCUUUCCAUCAGCUUGUUGUGUGCAUGGUGAAUCUUACAUUCGCCUCCUCUUCUUGCUCGUAUCCUCUUCAUACUUAUCGACAACAGCUUCCAAUGCUCUCUUUGUUGGUUUUGAAGGUCUUCUACUCUUCCUCGGAGUUUCUACAGCUUGAUUCCCGAUGUGACCCUCUGAUGUUGGAACUGUAACAGCAUUAGAGUCAUCAAAUUUGACCUCAGCAGGAACUUCAUUCACCAUAGUUUCAUCACCAUCAACUUUUUCAAAGGUCACUGCUAAGUUAAGAUCAAUAGUAGUUUCUACUGAAGGAGUUUUUUCAAAGUUGGCAGAUGCUCCACUAGUGCUCCCCUUAUCCAAGUACCUUACAGCAACGUAAUCGGAUUCCUUUAUCUGCUUCCCUUUAGAGUCUUUUCUAUCAGAAUCAUUUUUCGAAGCAGGAUCUUUGAUUAGUAGAGGGUAUGCAGCAACUUCAUCGAGGAGUUCUUUGAUAGAAUCAAAAUAAUCAACACCCUUCACGAGUUUCCUCGAAUAUUCUUCAAUUCCAGGGACAAUGAAAAUUAUAGCACUCUUAUUAGAAAGAAGACUACUAGGUUGCUCUGAAUGCCAACCGUUUGCUAGUAAACGAGGCCAAACAGACUCCCAGAAAAUGUCGCUUGCUUGCGUCUUGCUUAUUCUAAAAUCACCUGAAAGGAUGUGUACUAUUUCUAUAUAUGAUGUAAUCUUGGAGAAAUCUUUUUCUUCAAGAAUUUCAUAGAUAGACUUCAUAGCAUUUCCUUCAAGAUUUGUAGGAUCAUUUUGUGUACCAAUUCCUACUGCAUCGACAAAAGCUUCAACUCCAACUACAUCCUUCAAAGCAAAAACGUAGUCUUCGAGCGGCAAUUUUCCUCCCCAAAAAUUCUUACACACCUACAAAUUCCAAUGUGAUUGAAUUUAGUUUUAGCAAAUAACACAAUUGUAAGUGAACAUUCAUUACAACAAUAAUUUGUCAAAAAAAUAAAUAAAUUCAUUACAACAAUAAAUCUAAGCCAACAUACUAGAAAAGGGUUUCAAUUUGUAGAAGUGGUGUUCCAAUGGUAUAUAGACAAGAAUAAUGUGAGCUAUUUGAUCAUGAAUUUAGUAGGGAUUUGGAUCCUCUGCAUGCAACUAUGCAACAAUAUUUUGUUUAACCAGAACAUAAUAUUGAUGUGAAGUGAUAACACUUUUUCACAUGAAAAAUAUUGUCACACUAUUGUAGCAGGGGAGAGGAUUCAAAUUCAUCUAUGAGUGAUGUGUUAGUACUGUUUAUGAUUUUAUGUAAUGAUGAAAUGAAAUAGGAUAUAUAAACUUAGGAAUAAUUCAAUGCAGUAAUUACCUCGAAUAUUUUAUUGCACCAUUCCUCGGACUCAUUGUUGAGUAAAUGACGCAAAAUUUGUUGAUGAUGUGUUGGUUCUGACAUAAGUUUUCCCUUACCUUCAUUAUCUUUUAUUGCUUUCUUAUAUGCAUGCCACCUUAUAUGAUUCUCUGACUUGUAGAAUUUUGCAUAGUAGAAAAAUUGUACUUCACCUAUGGUCUUGCUACCAAUGAAUCUUUUCAGUUGAGAAAAGUUUUUGCCAAAUAUAAACAAUCCAAGCAUUAAACUGUCUACUUCUGGUUUAGUCCAAGUAUCAUUUGAACAUUUGUUGAAGGUAGGUGUCUUUGUAGUAUCAUCUGGACUCUCUGGAGAAUAAUUGCAGUCGAAUUUCAAUAUGAAAGAUGGAAUUUCUGCUUGGUAUUUGUUUCCAAUCCGAAUUAAUUUUUCGUCUCUUUGAUCUUCAAUGUUAUCAACUUGAACCAUAGUUUUCUGUAAAAAUAAAUUAAAUAAAUUUUAAGAAGAAUAAUUUUAAGAAGAUUGUAAGCAAUAGAAAAAUCUUGUGUAUUUACUAAAGUCAUGCAUCUGAGACCAUCUGAAUAAAAUUAUACGAUUAAAGUUUCAACUACAUUUAUGUGAUUUAUGAAGUCAAAAUGUGAUUUAUGAAGUCAAAAUGUGAGAUGUAUGAUUAUGACAAUGACAAAUAUGUGCACUCACUCUAAAAUAUAGUAUUUAUUAAUGAAAAUAAUAAAUGUGUGUGAUUUUCAACAAAUAAAAAUGCGAGUUGAUAAAAACCUAAUGUAUGGUUCUCAACAAUCCGAUACUACUAAGGAGAACCCUAAUUCCUACACUCAAUUUUUCAAAGGUUUUACAAAAAAAAAACUACUACCUGACACUGACUAUUAAUGAAAACUACUAAUGCGAGUUGAUAAAAAACUACUAUUAAUGAAAAACAGUUUCAUCAAAAUAUUGCCAAAAGAUAAUUCUUGGACAAGGGAAAACCAUAACCCAAACUUAAUCAAUUAAUCAAAUCAGUUCUAGUAAAAAAAAAAAAAAAAAAAAAAAAAAAUGAAACAUGAGGAACCGCGAUCAGAAGUCUAUGAAUUUACUACAAAUCGAGGAAUUUCAAUGGUCAUGUUUCUCUGAGCAAAGAAUCAAUCACUUCAAAAAAUGGUAUCAUUCAAAGAAAAAACUAUAAUCGAGCAACAAUCAUUGAUGAAAAAUAAUUAAAAAUAUAUACAUCAAAACGACAUAGAUAAAAGCAUGAAGAAACAUAAUAGCACAGGCACCCCAUUGGGGUUUUCGGUGAGAAAUAUAAAUAAAAAAAUAAUCCAAUGCGAUCCAAGAUUUAGAUUAUUCACUCAACAUAAAAAAGAAAUCGAUGACAUAUUCACUACAUUAAAUUGUACAACUCCAAUCAAAGCAUGGUGGCAAAGCCACAAUACUAGAAGAAAAAAAGGAAAGAAAAAAAAAACCUAAAAGGUGAAAGAUAAAACGAGGAGAUUCGUAGUAUUACCUCCGUUGUAGAAGCUAGAGAAAGCUCUAGAACGAUGAAGAAGCUAGCUUGAAAAGGGGUGUUUAUCGUUACACACCUAGUGAAUUACAAACAAUGCAAAAAACAUGAACAAGAAGAGUCGUCUACAAGGACACAAUGCACAUAUACGACUUAGUGCAAUUUGAAGGAGGGAGGGAGGGGGAGAGAGAGGGGGAGAGAGAGAGACUUGUGUGCGUUAAGGAAGUAACGCCUUGGAUGCGAAAGAAAUAUAUGUAAUGAGUAGAAAGAAAGAAAACAAAUAUGAUGUAUAUACCCACGUAUAAACGAAAUGCUUAGUUUUGUUUUUUUUGUUUUUUUUUGCGUUAACUAUUCGAUUACAGGAGAAAGGGGUCCUGAUAAUCCAAAAUUUGGCCAUGAGAUAAGGAUAGCAUGACCAAAAAUUGUUUCACCUAGGAAUCGAACUUGGGAACAAUUCGUCCUUGAUGAAGUUCAUUAACCACCUAAGCUUCCGAUUAUACAUUUCAUUUAAACUAUUAUAUUUUUAAUUUUACACUUUUUAUAAUAUUGUUUAAAUCUUUUAAUUAAAAAAUUAGAUAAAUGUUAUUGUAAUAAAAAUAAUAUCACUACAAAAUUAUUUUAUUCUAGCCAUUACGUUACUUGACAAAAAAAUUAUAUUUUAAAACCAAAUCUUCAUCCGUUGACAUUUGAAGUUUAAAAAUCUCUAUGCAAAUGUGGACGAAAGACUAAAAUAAAGUUUAAAAAAAAAUAAAAUAAGGGACUAUCAUUUCCUAAAAGUAAGUCAAGGUAAUAAAGAAAAAGUUUUGCCUUCUUUUUUUAAAGGAUAAUGAGGGGCAAAGGCAUCAAAAGAGGAAAACAUCUCAACUAUGAACUACUAUUUAAUUUAAAUAAAAAUGGAAAUCAUAGAAUGGAAAAUUAUUAAUUCUUAAGUAUUUGGUUUUUUAAGUAAAAAAAUAAAAAGUAUCGGGUGUCUUAAAAAAAAUAAAAAGUCACAAUCCAACAAAUAAUUGAAACUUAACAUAAAGUAUACAACACUUGCUAUUUCUCAAUGCUAAGAAUUUAGCAUUACAACCUCAAAAUACCGAGUUCAAAUCUCAUUUAAAGAUAGAUAUGAUAGGUUGUUUGAUCUUCCUGUUAAUAAAUUAUCCACAAUUGUGGAGAUGUUCUCUUUAGGGUGGAAAAUAAAUGGUAAGGCGUGGGAGUGGCGUAGGAGUUUGUUUGCGUGGGAGGAAGGGUUGGUGAGGGAGUGUGCGGAGCAACUGUCACUUAUUGUUUUGUAGGUUGGAUGUGACUGAAAUGUGGAUUUAGAAGCUUCAUUCUUUCCAUCAAUACAUAGUCAAAAGUGCUUUAUAAUCUUUUGACAACUUUUGAGGUUGGUAUUGAUGAGUGUUUUAAUCAUGUUUUGUGGCUUAAGCAAAUUUCACUUAAGGUCAAUAUUUUUAUUUGGUGUUCGUUCCUGAAUAGAUUAACGACAAAAAUUAAUUUGUUUAGGAGAAACAUAUUGGAUUACAAUUAUUCUUUGUGCACGGCUACUUGUGGCAUGGCGUAGGAUCAUGACCGUCAGUUUUUUACUUGUGCUUUCUACAGUCAACUUUGGGUUUUGAUAUUGAAUUGAUUAGGUUUUUCUAUGACUUUUCGUGGUCUGUUAAUUGAGCAUUCUACUCAGUUUGGAGGUCUCGGGAGCUUUUCCAACAAGUCUCGUUCGAAUUUUAACAUUAUUUGGAUUUGAGUUCUUUUUCUUAUUUGGAAGGAUCGCAAUAUGAGGCAUUUUCAUAAUAAGACGGAACAACUUUCCUCUUUAUUGGAAAAUGUUAAACUUCAAGCUUAUUGAUGGCUAAAAUCGUAUUAUGCCCUUCACGAAUUUGAGUCCU